rnacentral:rRNA from 1 species
CCUACGGGAGGCUGCAGUGGGGAAUAUUGGGCAAUGGAGGAAACUCUGACCCAGCAACGCCGCGUGAAUGAUGAAGGUCUUCGGAUUUUUAAGUUUUUUUCUAAGGGAAGAAGAAAGUGCCGGUACCUUAGGAAUAAGCCUCGGCUAACUACGUGCCAGCAGCCGCGGUAAUACGGAGGCGGCAAGCGUUCUCCGGAAUGACUGGGAGUAAAGGGUGCGUAGGUGGUUUGACAAGUUGGUAGCGUAACUCCGAGGCUUAACCUCGGCACUACUACCAAAACUGUUGGACUCGAGUGAAGGAGAGGCAAAUGGAAUUCCUAGUGUAGCGGUGGAAUGCGUAGAUAUUAGGAGGAACACCAGUGGCGAAGGCGGCUUACUGGACUGUAACUGACGUUGAGGCUCGAAAGCGUGGGGAGCAAACAGGAUUAGAUACCCGAGUAGUC